UUUGAAGGUAGACUGAUCAGAACUAGGGUUUAAUUGGAGUUUGUUUGGGUUAUAUUAUGUUUUGCGAUAAUGUUUUGAAGGCAUUUGGUAUUUUUGGGUGUUCGAUUGUUGUAGGCUUGCAGAGGAGUGAAAUGGUUAAAGAAUCGUCCCACACAAGAACCACACCCGGAGGAAUUCUUUGAAACUCUUUGACUCAUCUCAAGAACCACACCCGUUCUUCCCGGAGGAAAAGAAUCAGUUUUCUUCUCGGAGAUUAUAUUUUGGAUGCAAAAUUUGAUGUUUUUGUGAUAUUGCUACCCAAAACAAGAAGUGAUAUUAGCAAUUCUGUCUCCUCCACCUACUCCCCGUCGCCUUCAGUGCCAUUCGAAGAUUGGGACUACAAAGUCGAACUCUUCCGUAAGUUUUCGUUUUUUUUUAUGUUGGCUUUGUAGUUUGUCACUGAUUUUGGUAUUUUAGAUUGCUUUUUGGGGAAUUUAAAGUUACCCAGAAACUCCAAUUGCAUAAUUUGUGGAUAUAAUUUGUUGGUAUAAUCUUAAAUAUGCUUUGGUCUUUUUCAAUUCACAUAACUAUACUACUGGGUUUUCUAGAUGCAUGGUAACAUGUAUACGCUAUGAAAGUAACAAGCAAAAUCACAUAUCUAUAUGUAGAAAGACUCCAGUCUUUGCCUCUAAUGCUUCUAAUCAGCAAAAUCCCAGGUGGGAUUCCUCUCAUUGUAUCAGAAUUCUGAGACAUUUUAACAAUCCCACAAAAAACCAAAACCAAAAUCAAAACAACCCAAAAUUCUUCACAAGACCUUCAUAUGGCAUUCAUUUUUCAUGUUCAAAAACUACCCAGAACGCAAAAUUGCAGGUUUCAUGUGUCAAAAUAUCAGAGCAAAAGCUUUAGAGAGGGAGAGAGAGUAGGAUGAAUCAGUGGCCAUACUAUUUCAGUGUGUUUUGGUACUUCCCUAAUCCUGUGAUUGAGUGCAGGGUAUAGCCGAAACAGAAAAAACUAAUGUACACGAAUUUCUUGAUGUUAACGGCAGACCAGUUCUCAUAUUGGAUGCUUCUAAGCAUCUUUCUGCUGUAAAUUUUAUAUUUUUCGCCAUGUCUGACUCCAUACCAUAUAAUCUUAAUAUUUUUGAGGUGUUA